GUUCAAGCAAAACCCUAAGACGCAUUCUCGUUUCGUUUUUGUCCUCAGUGUUUCUUUCGCUUCUUCGUAAAUAUUAAUAAUUCGAGCUUUAGCAUUCCAAAUUUUUUGGAAAUUAAUUUAAUUAUUUAUUUAUAAGGGACAUCAAAUGUCUAAUUCAAACACUGGUUCAGUAAAAUGGUUUAACGAAGAUAAAGGUUUUGGUUUUAUCGCUCAAGACAAUGGCGGCCCAGAUGUAUUCGUACAUUUCCGCGCUAUUGCUUCUGAAGGCUUCAAGACUUUAUCUGAAGGUCAGAAGGUUUCUUUCAUGCUUGAGCAAGGUCCUAAGGGUCCUCAAGCUGCUAACGUUGUUGCUCUGUAAUUACAGAAUUACUUCGA
rnacentral:sRNA from 1 species